GGCUCAGGAUGAACGCUAGCUACAGGCUUAACACAUGCAAGUCGAGGGGAAACGAUAGAGAAAGCUUGCUUUUUUCUAGGCGUCGACCGGCGCACGGGUGAGUAACGCGUAUCCAACCUGCCCACCACUUGGGGAUAACCUUGCGAAAGUAAGACUAAUACCCAAUGACGUCUCUAGAAGACAUCUGAAAGAGAUUAAAGAUUUAUCGGUGAUGGAUGGGGAUGCGUCUGAUUAGCUUGUUGGCGGGGUAACGGCCCACCAAGGCGACGAUCAGUAGGGGUUCUGAGAGGAAGGUCCCCCACAUUGGAACUGAGACACGGUCCAAACUCCUACGGGAGGCAGCAGUGAGGAAUAUUGGUCAAUGGACGAGAGUCUGAACCAGCCAAGUAGCGUGCAGGAUGACGGCCCUAUGGGUUGUAAACUGCUUUUAUAAGGGAAUAAAGUGAGUCUCGUGAGACUUUUUGCAUGUACCUUAUGAAUAAGGACCGGCUAAUUCCGUG
rnacentral:rRNA from 1 species